UGCAGUCGAGCGGAAGGCCACUUCGGUGGUACUCGAGCGGCGAACGGGUGAGUAACACGUGAGUAAUCUGCCCUUGGCUUCGGGAUAGCCACCGGAAACGGUGAUUAAUACCGGAUAUGACUCCUUCGUGCAUGCGGGGGGGUGGAAAGUUUUUCGGCCAGGGAUGUGCUCGCGGCCUAUCAGCUUGAUGGUGAGGUAAUGGCUCACCAUGGCUUCGACGGGUAGCCGGCCUGAGAGGGUGACCGGUCACACUGGGACUGAGACACGGCCCAGACUCCUACGGGAGGCAGCAGUGGGGAAUAUUGGACAAUGGGCGGAAGCCUGAUCCAGCAACGCCGCGUGAGGGAUGACGGCCUUCGGGUUGUAAACCUCUUUCAGUACCGACGAAGCGCAAGUGACGGUAGGUACAGAAGAAGCACCGGCCAACUACGUGCCAGCAGCCGCGGUAAUACGUAGGGUGCGAGCGUUGUCCGGAAUUAUUGGGCGUAAAGGGCUCGUAGGCGGUUUGUCGCGUCGGGAGUGAAAACCAGGUGCUUAACACCUGGCUUGCUUUCGAUACGGGCAGACUAGAGGUAUUCAGGGGAGAACGGAAUUCCUGGUGUAGCGGUGAAAUGCGCAGAUAUCAGGAGGAACACCGGUGGCGAAGGCGGUUCUCUGGGAAUAUCCUGACGCUGAGGAGCGAAAGUGUGGGGAGCGAACAGGAUUAGAUACCC
rnacentral:rRNA from 1 species